rnacentral:rRNA from 1 species
GAUGAACGCUGGCGGCGUGCCUAAUACAUGCAAGUCGAGCGAACAGAUAAGGAGCUUGCUCCUUUGACGUUAGCGGCGGACGGGUGAGUAACACGUGGGUAACCUACCUAUAAGACUGGAAUAACUCCGGGAAACCGGGGCUAAUGCCGGAUAACAUUUAGAACCGCAUGGUUCUAAAGUGAAAGAUGGUUUUGCUAUCACUUAUAGAUGGACCCGCGCCGUAUUAGCUAGUUGGUAAGGUAACGGCUUACCAAGGCAACGAUACGUAGCCGACCUGAGAGGGUGAUCGGCCACACUGGAACUGAGACACGGUCCAGACUCCUACGGGAGGCAGCAGUAGGGAAUCUUCCGCAAUGGGCGAAAGCCUGACGGAGCAACGCCGCGUGAGUGAUGAAGGUCUUCGGAUCGUAAAACUCUGUUAUUAGGGAAGAACAAAUGUGUAAGUAACUGUGCACGUCUUGACGGUACCUAAUCAGAAAGCCACGGCUAACUACGCG